AUGAAUACUCGGAUGCUUGAGCUGUUUCUACAGCUGCCUCCUGUGGAGCCACCUCUGCCACACAGAUCUGCAUGCCCGCACUUGAUGCAGACAAGGCCGUCAGCUCGCCGGCAGGCGGUGCUCCAAGGGUAUGUCGCUAUCGUUCACAUCCUCCUCCAGCACAGUCCUGCAUCUCCACCGGUAGCUGCAAAAGGAAAACCACGCCGAGAUGAGAUCUACAAUAAUGCCCAGAAACUAACACAAAAACCAAACCGAUCCGCAUGUGCUAAUCGGUUGCAUCAAGAACUCCAUCUUCGCGAGUAG
rnacentral:rRNA from 1 species